UACAGAGGUCUCAAGCGUUGUUCGGAAUCACUGGGCGUAAAGGGUGCGUAGGCGGCGCGGAAAGUCAGAUGUGAAAUCCGGAGGCUCAACCUCCGAAUUGCAUCCGAUACUCCCGCGCUAGAGAUUUGUAGAGGAGCUUGGAAUUCUCGGUGUAGCAGUGAAAUGCGUAGAUAUCGAGAAGAACGCUCGCAGCGAAGGCGAAGCUCUGGGCAAUUUCUGACGCUGAUGCACGAAGGCUAGGGGAGCAAACGGG
rnacentral:rRNA from 1 species